rnacentral:lncRNA from 1 species
CACUAUAUCAGAAUAGUCCUCCACGUCUUCUCGAUUACCACAUCAGAACACUUUCUUCCUAAGAUUUCGGAAAUGUUAUUAUUAUGUAAUCAGUUGAUAUUAUUAUUAUUAUUAUGUAAUCAUUGAUAUUAUUAUUAUUACUAGGUUUAGUAGUUGAAGAUAUAGCUAUUAGCUAUACCAAUCAUAGCUAUUAUGAGGCAUUUCUAUUGGCAGUUUGGCAUACUAAAGCAGUUAUUAUUAUUUAAUCAGUUGAUAUUAUUAUUAUUAUUAUGUAAUCAGUUGAUAUUAUUAUUCUAGGUUUAGAGGUUGAAGAUAUAGCUAUUAGCUAUACCAAUCAUAGCUAUUAUUGGCAGUUUGGCAUAAUAAGGCAAGUCAGCUUAUGAAAAUGAAUGAAAACAGUUGAAAUGACUAUGGAUCACGUAACAAGAAAAAAUAAUAAACUAAUAAUUUCCUCUUCCCCCAAUGAGUAGUAUUUACAAUAAAUAUCAGUGAUAACUAUAAA